UACGUAGGGUGCAAGCGUUGUCCGGAAUUAUUGGGCGUAAAGAGCUCGUAGGCGUCUGUUGCGUCGGCUGUGAAAACCCGGGGCUCAACCCCGGGCCUGCAGCCGAUACGGGCAGACUAGAGUUCGGCAGGGGAGACUGGAAUUCCUGGUGUAGCGGUGAAAUGCGCAGAUAUCAGGAGGAACACCGGUGGUGUAGACGGCUCUCUGGACCGUAACUGACGCUGAGACACGGAAAGCGUGGGUAGCAAACAGG
rnacentral:rRNA from 1 species